UACGUAGGCGGAUUGUUAAGUCAGUGGUGAAAGUCUACGGCUCAACCGUAGAAGUGCCAUUGAUACUGGCAGUCUUGAGUACAGUAGAGGUAGGCGGAAUUUAUGGUGUAGCGGUGAAAUGCAUAGAUACCAUAAAGAACACCUAUAGCGAAGGCAGCUUACUAUGCUGUAACUGACGCUGAGGCACGAAAGCGUGGGGAGCGAACAGGAUUAGAUACCCUGGUAGUCC
rnacentral:rRNA from 1 species